CGUCAUAGUCGGAUGCACGUCAUAGUCGGAGGCACGUCAUAGUCGGAGACAGCCACCAAUCCGCGGAAGCUAAGGUGUACGUUGGCAUGACGACGGGGUGGGGCCGAACCUAGGCGUUCGAGUGGGCGGCCCUUUGAAACCAGUGCUUCAGAGUGGACUCUAAGCGCGGUGUUGUACCUUGGAGGUCUCUUCCGUCUUUUCCUUCCCCGACUCCCUGCUAGACUUUCGUGGACAGAAAGCUCCGGGUAGCCGACUCCACAUCUCUGGCUACCGACAGAGCGUCCACAUCCCCGCCUAGCGACAGAGAGCGUAGAAAAGGACUGCGCCCAGCUGAACCACCGGCUCCUGCUUCGUUUCUGCUGAGCUAGACCCAGCGAGCCUAGAGAGUUGGGCUGAAUAACUAGUAUUUUCAUUUAAUUGGAUUUGAAGAAAGAACAAAUAUAUACGGGGGCAACCACGAUCUUUAUAAAGAACAUAAGUUCCAGGAAAACAGGAACCUUGUGUCUUGUUCACGUGUGUAUCCUCCGCAGAUAGAACAGUGCGUGGCACAUAAUAGGUGCUGAAAUAUAAAUUCUACAAAUGCAAGAAUCUUUGUAUUGCCCAGUGAUGUAAGCCAAGCAUCUGAGACAGAGCCUGGCACUAAUAGGUGCCCAUAACAAUUUUCAAAUGAGUGAAUGAAUGAAUGAGUUUUAACAGGAAAAAGUCACAUUUUUAUGUAAAAAGUUAUUGUCUUAAUCUCUUUUAUAUUUUAAAGGAAAAAAAUAACAUUCUGCUACUCUGAAAUUCAGAUUUGCAGUGAAGAUAUGCCAAGACACAGAAAGAUGAUUUCUCUUCAGGAAAGAAUCUCUAAAUGAAAAUCAUGUGAUUAUUAGGCUCUAUACAUACCAUCAAAAUUCUAAUUCAGUCAGCCCCACCCUGAAUCCAGUCACAACUCUUAUUUAAUCUACUUCCCUCCUCUUCUAAUUGAAUCACUUUCUCCAAUUCUAGUAAACCCUUUCAUUACAAAGUUACCAGCCCACAAAAUGUGACAAUUUUGCUUGAGGCUUUUAGUAAGAAAAUGGAAGAAAAAAACUCAAUGCUCACAAGUUAGAAAUUACACUUAAAGAAGUAUAAAUGAUAGCAUCUGUUCUAUUUUUAACCUAAAAAUGAUUAAUUUUCUAAUUUAAAAAGCUGGUGCUUUAAUCUAUUUUGAUAAGUGGAAAGGAUAGAAAAAGAAAGUAGCUUGCCUUCUCCCAACAAAUCCUGAUGUUAAUUGAAGAUACUUUGAGACCCAGAGAGAUGAUUUCCUGGAAACAGCCUCAAAAUGAAAUUUGCUGAUGGUCCAGGCUAGAUUACUAGAUAAUAUUAUAAUUUAACCACCUCUUACCCAAUCCAAGCACAUAGCUACCUAUCACUUGCUGGCCACACCAUUAUUACUAAGAUAAUUAAAAGCAAGCAUAUUAAAAAAACAGUUAAAAUGAAAGAACUAAAAUAUAGAAAAUAAACAGAUAGAAAAAGACAUAC